rnacentral:tRNA from 1 species
GGUAUGUGGCUCAGUGGUACAGUGUUUGCCUAACAUGCAUAAGGCUAUGGGUUCAAUACACAACACUG